UACGGGGGGAGCAAGCGUUGUUCGGAUUUACUGGGCGUAAAGGGCGCGUAGGCGGCCUCCGCAAGUCGAUUGUGAAAUCUCCGGGCUUAACUCGGAAAGGUCAACUGAUACUGCGGGGCUAGAGUGCGGAAGGGGCAACUGGAAUUCUCGGUGUAGCGGUGAAAUGCGUAGAUAUCGAGAGGAACACCUGCGGCGAAGGCGGGUUGCUGGGCCGACACUGACGCUGAGGCGCGAAAGCUAGGGGAGCGAACGGG
rnacentral:rRNA from 1 species